UACGUAGGGGGCAAGCGUUGUCCGGAUUUAUUGGGCGUAAAGAGCGUGUAGGCGGCCUGAAAGGUCAGCUGUGAAAACUCGAGGCUCAACCUCGAGACGUCGGUUGAAACCAUCUGGCUAGAGUCCGGAAGGGGAGUGUGGAAUUCCCGGUGUAGCGGUGAAAUGCGCAGAUAUCGGGAAGAACACCCGUGGCGAAGGCGGCACUCUGGGACGGUACUGACGCUGAGACGCGAAAGCGUGGGGAGCGAACAGG
rnacentral:rRNA from 1 species